rnacentral:lncRNA from 1 species
GGGAUGCCCUGUUUAGGAGGUUCCUGUAACUGCACUGUAGGUCAGGGUGGGCAGUUGCAAGCUUACAGGUUUUCUGAAUUACCACGAGGCUUUUGCAGGUGAGGGGUGAGGUGUGAAAAGCGUGAACUGCCUCUACCUGAAGGUUGUUGUAGAGAUCCAGGACUCUGUACAGACAUGCUUGCCUCAGAGCUUCUAGCUUUACUAUCUUCACUGCAGAAGCUUGUAGUAUUUGAGUUAGAGAGUCUGGAGAAAACUUGACUUCCCAAGAAAGUAGUUCCUGUUAAAUGAAAGAGGGGAAAAAAAAAAAAAAAAGGAUUUUCUACACCAACAAAUAGCACCAUGGUUACCAGAACUAGUGAAGCCUCAUUUCCUACGGACUUGUGGUGGGAAAUUUGGGUCAGUUUGGAGUAGUCUAAGUUCUAAGUUAGUAGUCUAAGUAGACUUAGUUCCUCCAAGUUUAUAGGGGUUCCAAGGGAAACUUUUUCCAUAUAGGUCUCUGCUGGAUGAGUGUUUUUGUCCCUAGUAAGGCAUGAAGUCAUGCUGCAGUUUUGCCUCAGUGGGGGAAUUCCACUUUGACAGUCCUCAUGAUCUGGAAGUUGUUGCUCCCCGUUGUCCCAAGCCAAACUUGAGAAAAUGGUGAAAAUGAAGAGGAAGAAGGCCAUGCCAUCCGUCUACUGCACUCAGUGCCAUGAAGUGCCAAAUGUGGGUACCAGAAAGGCAUAGAGAGAGCUUUCUUUUCAGCCACUGAAUAUUUAAUGGUGAGUGAAAGUUAAAACAUGCUAAUGUGUUGGUGUAAAAUAUUCAUGGCAGCUGCUUAAGCCUAUUGUGUUCCCCUGUGGUCAUAUA